rnacentral:rRNA from 1 species
ACGUAGGGGGCGAGCGUUGUCCGGAAUUACUGGGCGUAAAGGGUGCGUAGGCGGCGAUGCAAGUCCAUUGUGAAAAGCCCGGGCUUAACCUGGGAGGUGCAGUGGAAACUGCAUGGCUUGAGUGCAGGAGAGGAAAGUGGAAUUCCUAGUGUAGCGGUGGAAUGCGUAGAGAUUAGGAGGAACACCAAUGGCGAAGGCAGUUUUCUGGACUGUAACUGACGCUGAGGCGCGAAGGUGUGGGGAGCAAACAG